ACUGCAAUGAGCUUAGCUAGCAAUUAGCCAUGCAUAUGCACAGAAAAAACACAGAAUUAAUGCAUGAGAAGAGGGGGGGGGGGGGAAGUUAAUUUCUGGAGAUGGAAGAGAGCAAGGCUUGCAUGGUGAUAAGGGUGUAGCUCUGGUAGCCAAGGAUGACUUGCCUGUGUCCUUGUGUAGAGGAUCAUUCAGAAAAUGAGCCUUGAACUGGUUCAUAGGCAGUCUCCUUGGCUAGUCUGAGUCGCUCUUAUCACUCAUGUUAGGCUUGCAUCUCGUUGAUCGAUAUGUAAUUAACUACGUUUUCUUCAGAAGGAAAAGUUCUAUUGGUAGAACAGAUAUGAAAACAGACCAGCUUGGCAAAGAACACAAAGAUCAAAUAUUUCAGAGAAUCGACGAACACAGGCGCGGACAAUUGCAAUGUGAAACCUGAUAAUUAGUUUUAAUUUUGCCAGCAAUGCGGAGCAUAUGCAAUUUGUAAAUUGAUGGCAAUGCAAGUCUGAACUUUUUUCAUGUAGUUGAUAUUUUUCUACUGUCUGUACUUGGAGCUGUUCAUGUUCAGUGUUUGUCGGACGUUCUUGAGAGCCUAGUUAUUUUUGUCAUUUUAAUCCUGUGCUAUUUAUGAUUUUUUUAACCCAUCUUGUUAAAUUAUGGCUAUAUCUGAAACUGUGAGUUAGUACU